UUUUUAUGGUUUUUAAGGGGUAUUUUUGGGUUUUUAGGGUUUUUAAGAGGUAUAUUUGGGUUUUUAGGGUUCUUUAGGGGUAGUUUUGGGGUUUAAGGGUUUCUAAGGGAUAUUUUUCUGUUUUUGGGUUUUUUAAGGGACAUUUUUAGGUUUUUAUGGUUUCUUAGUGGUAUUUUUGGGUUUUUAGGGUUUUUAGGUGGUUUUUUUGAGUUUUUAGAGUAUUUAAGGGGUAUUUUCGGGUUUUUAUGAUUUUUAAGGGGUAUUUUUGGGUUUUAAUGAUUUUUAAGGG
rnacentral:lncRNA from 1 species